rnacentral:tRNA from 1 species
UGGGCAUUCGCCAAGCGGUAAGGCACAGGACUUUGACUCCUGCAUUCGAAGGUUCAAAUCCUUCAUGCCCAG